GUAUUAAAUAUCUAGUAUUUGUUCAAUUAUCUUAAAUCCACUAAUUAGCAGUGAACAAUCAUUAGCAGAGGUGAUAAAACUGCCAAAGGCAUUAGGUAUUUAACUUAAUCCUAUUGUCAGUUAAUUAGUGUUACACAAUCACUCGGGUAACAAUUUUACCGGAAACGCCAGAAGGCAUGAAAUUUGUAAAAUGUAUCUUUUGAAAAGGCAGAGGGGGGCAUUCUUUGGCUUUGGAGGGCAGAAGGGCGGGGGUAAGGGCACCAAGGGCGGGGCGCCCUUCUAUUUAGGGCAGGCGGGAACACUGAGUAAUAUAAACAUGAAUUAAAACUUUUAAAAGAAGAUUUGAAUACUAAAAACCUUGGAACAAACUUUUCCAGUAGAUUUAAUUACUAAUAACAGAAAUACAUAUGAAUACAGACUAAAAUCCUUUGACUUUUAAAGAAGAUUUAUAAACACAGAAAACCUUUAGAACUUUUAAAGUAGAUUUAAUUGCUAUGAACUUUUAAGGGAGAUUUGAAUAAUAAAAACCAGUGAAAAUUUUUUACAUAAGAUUCAGUUGCUAAUAAAUAAUUUUGAUCUUUACAGCAGAUUUAUAAAUACUGAAAAUGUUUUUAAUUUUUUGAGUAGAUUUAUAUACUUCAAACCUUUGCAUAAACUUUAAUACAUAAACCUUAUUUGAACAAUUCUAUUUGUUUUCAACAAACCAUAUUCCCUUUUGUGCCAUAUUAUAAAUGAUGUAUAUAUAUUAUGUUGAAAUUACUGUUGAAUGAAUAAUUACAUACACUGGUUAUGUCAAAUGAUAUGUUUAUAUUUUAAAGUGUUCCUCAACAAAUAUUUAUAUGGCAAGGAGCAUCUAUUGUUUAUGUCCUCUUAAAGUUUAUUUACAAAAUAUGAAGGCACUGCCAUCUGCCAUGCAAUUAAAAAAUAAAAGUCAAAAUGUUAAUUAAACUGUUUAUGGUAGUAUAAGUUUAUGUUUUUGUUAUUUUUGUUUGAGGCGAUAUUACAUUCCAGAAGUUAGGACCUCCUAUUGUUUUAUUUUAACCUCAUACUGCAUGUACAUUCAAUUAUAGUUAUAGAUGAUGUUAUAAAUGACACCAUGUUUUAUUUUAAGAGUUUAUUGACAGGUAUUAUUUGUUAUGUUAACAUAAUUUCAGUUUAUCUCUGAUAUGUGAGGAAAUUCAUCUUUUAUCUGUCUUUUGACAUGUUUUUAAUUAGAUACAUUUCAUUCAACUCUUGAAAUACUGUUAAAUCAAAGGAAGGGCAAUGCAAAAAGAAUAGAUAUUUAUGUUCAUAUAUAACUUUUUAAGGUAAAUGUUUAAGGUAUAAAAAGUCUAUAAAUGAGUAUUUUUGAAAAUUCAAACUGUUAUAUACAGUAUCAAAGAAAACUAUGGACUAUGUAAUAAUAAAAAUCUGAUUCGAUGAUCCUUAAUAUUUUUACAUAAUUAAAGCUGACCAUUUUGUAAAUGUUAUCAUAACUAUCAGUUUAUUAUUUAAUUUUGCAUUUUCCUUUCUCUGACUAAAAUGUGACAAAAAAUAAGGUUGUAUAUGAACUGCAGCAAAGUAAAGAUAGGUUGUAUUUUUUACUUACACAUAAUGUUAUUUUUACAUGUAUUAACUGAUUUUAUUUACUAAUUUCCAUGUAGGAAAGAAACAAAAUAAAGUGUAUCUUUCAAUUGUUAAAGAGAUAUGAAAUUAUAUGUUGUUCAAAUGUAGCUAAAAAUGAGAUUUUUCACUUUUACAUGUAAAAUGAUCUCAAUUGUUCUAUGUUAGAAUACAAUUUUGUAAAUUUAGAUAUGACAAAAUAAAACGUCAUAAUUUUCAUUACAAU
rnacentral:lncRNA from 1 species